rnacentral:rRNA from 1 species
CAGUCGCCGCGGGAAUACAGAUGGUGCGAGCGUUAAUCGGAUUUACUGGGCGUAAAGCGUGCGUAGGCGGCUUUUUAAGUCGGAUGUGAAAUCCCUGAGCUUAACUUAGGAAUUGCAUUCGAUACUGGGAAGCUAGAGUAUGGGAGAGGAUGGUAGAAUUCCAGGUGUAGCGGUGAAAUGCGUAGAGAUCUGGAGGAAUACCGAUGGCGAAGGCAGCCAUCUGGCCUAAUACUGACGCUGAGGUACGAAAGCAUGGGGAGCAAACAGGAUUAGAUACCCCCGUAGUCCCUGUCUCUUAUAC